rnacentral:rRNA from 1 species
UACGGAGGAUGCAAGCGUUAUCCGGAAUGAUUGGGCGUAAAGCGUCCGCAGGUGGCUAUGUAAGUCUGCUGUUAAAGAGUGAGGCUCAACCUCAUAAAAGCAGUGGAUACGACAUGGCUAGAGUGCGUUCGGGGCAGAGGGAAUUCCGGGUGCAGCGGUGGAAUGCGUAGAGAUCCGGAAGAACACCGGUGGCGAAGGCGGCCUGCUGGGGAGUUUUGCUGACACUGAGGCGCGACAGCGUGGGGAGCAAACAGG